rnacentral:lncRNA from 1 species
AUCAGGCUCUUCUGCUUCCCGGCCCCGCAGCUCCCUUCCCUUCUCGCUUGCCUCUCUGGAUGCUUUCUCAGAAGCUGGACUCCCCGUCCCUCUCCCUGGCUGGUCCAGAGCCCUUUACUGCUGAGGCAGCACAGUUCCCGUCAACUGGGUUGUUUUACCAAGUGUCUUCAGAGGGGAUGAGUUAGAGUGCUGGCCUGGGGAGAGGGUGCCUCCCCAGGUUUGAUCUGUAGGGUCCAGCUUUCUGCAGGGAAGAUGUUUUACAGAUGUGUCAAGCUGAUGUUGUAAUGUGGUUGGGGAAGGAACUCCAGACCCAACGUGUUUGCCAGCUGGGUACGCGCAACUCUGGGAUCCUCGGUCUUAAAAUGAUUUUUCUCUUUGUACUGGGAAACAAGUCAUGCUGUCACCAAGCUGAAGAAAAACCCACUGUGGCUGCUGGUUCUGAAUCGCAGAAAUCAGAUGAGUCCAGGUGUCCAUGGCAGAGUGAAUGGACCAGAGGCGAGACAGUGGCGAGAGAAGUUCUGAUAAGCAGAGUACAGGAAUGGCUUCCCUCCGGAAUGGCUGGAUUGGCAGCCCGAGGCUGUGUGUGACCGCGUCCCUCCACGUGACCCGGUGUGCAAGAGGGUCAUCGAGAUGAGAAGGAAGGGCCGGGGGGCAUGGUGGGACUACCUGACCAACCCCCACUUCCUCCACCACAAGAACAACAAAAUGCUCACAGCUGGCUGCACACGAUUCAGAUGCCAUCACGGUGCCACCUCCCCUUUGGAUGUCCUCGAUUCUCACGGGAGGUCAGCCAGGCCCCUGCUGGCCCACGGGAGCCAGCUGCCACUGAUGAGGGCCACUCUCGGCACUCAGCCCAGCGCAAGUUUGAGCUAAGUCAUUCUGUGUUCAUAGUUUUUUGUAAUUUCUUUUUUAUCUACACACAAGUUUUAUAUAAAUGUAUAAAUAGAACUACCUCUUGGGGCGCUUGGGUGGCGCAGUCAGUUGAGCAUCCAACUCAUGAUUUCGGUUCAGGUCUGAUCUCGGGGUCGUGGGAUCAAGCCCCACGUCAGGCUCCCCGCUCAGUGCAGAAUCUGCUUGAGAUCCUCUCCCCGUCUCCCCCUGCCACUCCCACUCAUGCUCUCUCUCUCUUCCUCUCUAAAAUAAAUAAAUCUUUAAAAAAAAAACUAUUUCUUACAUGCUGCUUCUUGUCCUGUCUUACUUUCCUGCGUUGCUUGUUGCAGACUUCUCCCUCCCCCACAUUGCUCACCCCCUUCCUGUGUGUCUUUCCACGGUUUACUCCGUGCUCUCUAAUCAUAAUCAUAAAUCAAGAUUUUUGUCAUGGCUUUAUCAAAAAUGCAAUCAUAUUACAGGCACUCAUUUGUUGUUUUGCUUACUCAGUACAUCCCAGAGUUCUCUUCAAGUCAGCUGGCGUAGCUCUAAUCCUUUCUUUUUAAUGGCUGAUAUUCCAUAGUGUGGGUACGCCAUUUAUUCCACUGUUCUCUUAUUGAAGCUGGGUCGCAUCCUGCUCAAAGAUUAUUUGGAUUAUAAGUCAAGAAGUUCGGAGUUAGUUUUAAAAACACUUGUUUUUCAAAAUGUAUAUUCAUCUUUCUUUGCUCCGCUAAUGUAUGUUCUUCAAAAAUUCAAAACUCAGGGGCACCUGAGUGGUUCAGUCAGGUAAGUGUCUGCCUUUGGCUCAGGUCACGAUCCCAGGGUCUGGGAUCGAGCCCCACAUAGGGCUCUUUGCUCAGCGGGGAUCCUGCUUCUCCCUCUGCCUGCAACUCCCCCUGCUUGUGCACACACUCUCUCUCAGAUGAAUAAAUAAAAUCUUUUAAAAUUUUUUUCA